rnacentral:rRNA from 1 species
CCAAGGAUGGGUCUGCGGCCUAUCAGGUAGUAGUGGGUGUAAUGUACCAACUAGCCGACAACGGGUACGGGUUGUGAGAGACAAGAGCCCGGAGAUGGAUUCUGAGACAUGAAUCCAGGCCCUACGGGGCGCAGCAGGCGCGAAAACUUUACAAUGCGGGAAACCGUGAUAAGGGGACACCGAGUGCCAGCAUCAUAUGCUGGCUGUCCGGGUGUGUAAAAUACACCUGUUAGCAAGGGCCGGGCAAGACCGGUGCCAGCCGCCGCGGUAA